rnacentral:rRNA from 1 species
GUUGUCCGGAAUUAUUGGGCGUAAAGAGCUCGUAGGCGGUCUGUUGCGUCCGCUGUGAAAACUCGGGGCUUAACCCCGAGCCUGCAGUGGAUACGGGCAGACUAGAGGUAGGUAGGGGAGAAUGGAAUUCCCGGUGUAGCGGUGAAAUGCGCAGAUAUCAGGAAGAACACCAAUGGCGAAAGCAGCUCUCUGGGACGGUACUGACGCUGAGACGCGAAAGCGUGGGGAGCGAACAGG